rnacentral:rRNA from 1 species
UGGGGAAUUUUGCACAAUGGGGGAAACCCUGAUGCAGCGACGCCGCGUGAUUUAGAAGGCCUUCGGGUUGUAAAAAUCUUUUUUACGGGAUGAAAAUGACAGUACCGUAAGAAUAAGGUCCGGCUAAAUACGUGCCAGCAGCCGCGGUAAUACGUAUGGACCGAGCGUUGUCCGGAAUCAUUGGGCGUAAAGGGUACGUAGGCGGCCUAAUAAGUUAGAAGUGAAAGAAUAUAGCUCAACUAUAUAAAGCUUUUAAAACUGUUAGGCUUGAGAGAUGCAAGGUAAAGAGGAAUUCCUAGUGUAGCGGUGAAAUGCGCAGAUAUUAGGAAGAAUACCGGUGGCGAAGGCGACUUUCUGGUCAUCAUCUGACGCUGAGGUACGAAAGCGUGGGUAGCAAACAGG